AGAGUUUGAUCCUGGCUCAGAUUGAACGCUGGCGGCAUGCCUUACACAUGCAAGUCGAACGGUAACAGGUUAAGCUGACGAGUGGCGAACGGGUGAGUAAUGUAUCGGAACGUGCCCAGUCGUGGGGGAUAACUACUCGAAAGAGUGGCUAAUACCGCAUGAGACCUGAGGGUGAAAGCGGGGGAUCGCAAGACCUCGCGCGAUUGGAGCGGCCGAUAUCAGAUUAGCUAGUUGGCGGGGUAAAAGCCCACCAAGGCGACGAUCUGUAGCUGGUCUGAGAGGACGACCAGCCACACUGGGACUGAGACACGGCCCAGACUCCUACGGGAGGCAGCAGUGGGGAAUUUUGGACAAUGGACGAAAGUCUGAUCCAGCCAUGCCGCGUGCGGGAAGAAGGCCUUCGGGUUGUAAACCGCUUUUGUCAGGGAAGAAACGACGUCCUCUAAUACAGGGUGUUAAUGACGGUACCUGAAGAAUAAGCACCGGCUAACUACGUGCCAGCAGCCGCGGUAAUACGUAGGGUGCAAGCGUUAAUCGGAAUUACUGGGCGUAAAGCGUGCGCAGGCGGUUAUGCAAGACAGAUGUGAAAUCCCCGGGCUCAACCUGGGAGCUGCAUUUGUGACUGCAUGGCUAGAGUACGGUAGAGGGGGAUGGAAUUCCGCGUGUAGCAGUGAAAUGCGUAGAUAUGCGGAGGAACACCGAUGGCGAAGGCAAUCCCCUGGACCUGUACUGACGCUCAUGCACGAAAGCGUGGGGAGCAAACAGGAUUAGAUACCCUGGUAGUCCACGCCCUAAACGAUGUCAACUGGUUGUUGGGAGGGUUUCUUCUCAGUAACGUAGCUAACGCGUGAAGUUGACCGCCUGGGGAGUACGGCCGCAAGGUUGAAACUCAAAGGGAUUGACGGGGACCCGCACAAGCGGUGGAUGAUGUGGUUUAAUUCGAUGCAACGCGAAAAACCUUACCUACCCUUGACAUGUCUGGAAUCCUGAAGAGAUUUGGGAGUGCUCGAAAGAGAGCCAGAACACAGGUGCUGCAUGGCCGUCGUCAGCUCGUGUCGUGAGAUGUUGGGUUAAGUCCCGCAACGAGCGCAACCCUUGUCAUUAGUUGCUACGAAAGGGCACUCUAAUGAGACUGCCGGUGACAAACCGGAGGAAGGUGGGGAUGACGUCAGGUCAUCAUGGCCCUUAUGGGUAGGGCUACACACGUCAUACAAUGGCCGGUACAGAGGGCUGCCAACCCGCGAGGGGGAGCCAAUCCCAGAAAACCGGUCGUAGUCCGGAUCGUAGUCUGCAACUCGACUGCGUGAAGUCGGAAUCGCUAGUAAUCGCGGAUCAGCUUGCCGCGGUGAAUACGUUCCCGGGUCUUGUACACACCGCCCGUCACACCAUGGGAGCGGGUUCUGCCAGAAGUAGUUAGCCUAACCGCAAGGGGGGCGAUUACCACGGCAGGGUUCGUGACUGGGGUGAAGUCGUAACAAGGUA
rnacentral:rRNA from 1 species